AUCAGAGCUUUUAACUUUAUAUAAGACAGGUCAAACAAGCACACAAUAAAAGAAACUUCAUUGAUUUUCAAUCAUAUAGUUAAGGAAGAAACGUUAACAUAUAACAAUGGUCAACUUUUAGACCAAACCAAAAGUCUUUUGCAUAAGAAAGUAAAGACUUCUUCAAGCUGUACAUUAACUUCCUAUCCACGACAUACACCGUUCGGCAGGGUCGGCGAAACAGCUACAUCCACAUCCGGUGAAGGCGACGGUGACUCGUCGUAGGAUAUCGAAAUCAGCUCAUCUCUGAGCUUCUCCGCAUCAUCUUUGUUUCCUUUGGCACUUCCGUUUGAGAUAUAGGUGACAGGCUUCACAUCUGAGUAGGUUAUAACCUCGUCUUCCUCGGGUGAAGUGUAGGAGAUUUCGAUGAGCGAUUCACGAGCUUGUUCUUGAGAGGUCUUGUUGUUCCUCGGUUGUUCCAUCAAUACCUUUAAACUUCUGCAUAUUUUUAGACCACAAGGAACAAACCCAAAACACAAUUACAUUUCACUACGUUUUCAAUACCAUAUCCAUUCUAAUCCAAAUCUUAAUCAUAUUCACAUUGCAAACAAAACCAAUUCAUCAUUAAAAAAAAUCAAAAUUCUCCAACCAACACUACAAUAAAUAAAAAAAAGCAAAAUCUAGACCAAUCCAUGGAACCCAGUAAAAAAAAUUAAAACUUUACAAUUCAUACAAAUAAUUAAACGAAUCAAACACUAAUUUUUAAACAAACCCAAACCCUAAAUUCUCAAAAUUAGCACCCAAAGUCAACGCAGUUUCUCGAUCUUUUUGUAAAAAAAAUUCAUCAUGCGAUUUUAUCGGGAAUCAGAGCCAUAAACCUAAAUUAAUUAUCCUUAUCCAAUUGAUUUAAAACCAAAUCGAAGUGUUUUUUCUUUCUCUCCGAACAUAUUCUCUCGAGAUUUUCCCACGGAAAAAAAACCUAAAAUUUCGGAUUCGAUUAUAAACAGAGAAGAAAUCGGAAAAUCAGAGGAAGAAGAGAAAUCG